UACGUAGGGCGCAAGCGUUGUCCGGAAUUAUUGGGCGUAAAGAGCUCGUAGGCGGUUUGUCGCGUCGGCCGUGAAAUCUCCACGCUUAACGUGGAGCGUGCGGUCGAUACGGGCAGACUUGAGUUCGGUAGGGGAGACUGGAAUUCCUGGUGUAGCGGUGAAAUGCGCAGAUAUCAGGAGGAACACCAGUGGCGAAGGCGGUGCUCUGGGCCGGUACUGACGCUGAGGAGCGAAAGCGUGGGGAGCAAACAGG
rnacentral:rRNA from 1 species